UGUUGCGGGCAGUGGGUGAGGCCCCGUGGACCUCGAACCCUGAUCUGCUUCUAGCCGGCGAAUAACUGGAAUUAACGGAGCAGGUUUAGUGUGCACGUGAGAUACUCUGGACCUUUCCACCCGCCCCACCCGACUGCGGGGAUAGUCACACAGUCACGUGCCGGGUGGGUCCCGGGGGUCGCACUUCGCUGGAGCUGGUCCCCGAGCCGCUGGCAGUGAAGUGACGGGGAAAGCGCGGGACCGGAAGGAGGGACGCAGGGCUCCAGGACUUCCAGCGCUUUCAGGCUAAUACUGGAUGCACACGAAAUCACAUGUUGAGCAAAUAUGUGGGUGGAUCAAUCAGUAUCAGAUGAUAACUGGGCUUAAGGAAAAUAACUUUCAAGUCAUACUUGCUUAAAAGAGAUCUACUUAGUCAAAAGGCUACAUUGCUUAAACAGUGAGAAAAAUCCAUGAAUAGAAUGACCGUCUGUGGUACUUCGGUAGAGCACCUGGAACAGAUUAAGACACCGUAGUAGCUUAAAUAUGUUAUACGAUAGAUUUCAUAAUGACAAAAAAAAAAGAAGAAAAGAAAAGAAGGAACCAUGAGUCACCCACAGAGGACGCCAGGGAACUGUGACAUAAUAAGAAAUAUGUAUGUGGUGUCUACACUGGCUUCCUGGCACAGAGCUCCUGAAACGCUUGGAAUUUCUUGAGCGAUCGGGAAUGAACGAGAGUUUAGAAGACCAAAUAUUUCAAACCAACCAGUGAAGCCCUUUGGUGCGGUUUUGACUCCAAAGCAGCAAGACUGUCUCCUGGUCUCCCAGGGCCAUACGCCACGGGGUCACUUUUCAAAUUAAGGUGCAAUCCAAGUGAAGGUGGAAAGGCAAGGUGUGAGGUCCUUCGACAGCAUCCCUGGUAGGUAACCAUCCACUCUCUAUAAACACCUCCAAUAGGAAAUCUCAGCCACAUUUUAUGAAGCUUCACUGUUGCCUCACCAGGAACCAGUCUUCCCCAUUUCCCAGGACAGCACUUCAAGUCUUAGAGACAGUGUUCUCAUCCCCACCCCAAGUCAGUGAUUCCUACCUGGAGUCUAGGGAAUGUGAGGGGACAGCCAUCCUAUUGGACAAUAGCAGCUCCUUGGAACAGCCAAGGUUAGCAGUUGGGGGCUUUUCCUUAGAUGCCGUGAUGCUCUGUUGAGGUUAGAAAUUUAUUUCAGUGGUUAGAAAACAAGAACAUACGCUAAAAUCUUUAAAAAUGGUUUUAUUUUAUUUUUUUUAAAGAUUUUUCGGUUUUGACAUGGACCAUUUUUAAAGUCUUUAUUGAAUUUGUUACAGUAUUGCUUCUGUUUUAUGUUUUGGUUUUUUGGCCACAAGGCAUGUGGGAGCUUAGCUCCCCCAGUGCGGGGGGUGUGGGAUCAAACCCACAGCCCCUGCGUUGGAAGGCGAAGUCUUAACCACUGGACUACCAGGGAAGUCCCUAAAAGUGGUUUGAAAACCACUCUCUUAAGUUUUCUCUUCCCCAGGGUAAACAUUGCUUGCUCUUUGAAAUAUUGGUAAUACAGGUUUAUAUAUUUUUUAAAA